rnacentral:rRNA from 1 species
AACGCUAGCUACAGGCUUAACACAUGCAAGUCGAGGGGCAGCAUGGUCUUAGCUUGCUAAGGCCGAUGGCGACCGGCGCACGGGUGAGUAACACGUAUCCAACCUGCUGUCUACUCUUGGACAGCCUUCUGAAAGGAAGAUUAAUACAAGAUGGCAUCAUGAGUCCGCAUGUUCACAUGAUUAAAGGUAUUCCGGUAGACGAUGGGGAUGCGUUCCAUUAGAUAGUAGGCGGGGUAACGGCCCACCUAGUCUUCGAUGGAUAGGGGUUCUGAGAGGAAGGUCCCCCACAUUGGAACUGAGACACGGUCCAAACUCCUACGGGAGGCAGCAGUGAGGAAUAUUGGUCAAUGGGCGCAGGCCUGAACCAGCCAAGUAGCGUGAAGGGUGACUGCCCUAUGGGUUGUAAACUUCUUUUAUAAAGGAAUAAAGUCGGGUAUGUAUACCCGUUUGCAUGUACUUUAUGAAUAAGGAUCGGCUAACUCCGUGCCAGCAGCCGCGGUAAUACGGAGGAUCCGAGCGUUAUCCGGAUUUAUUGGGUUUAAAGGGAGCGUAGAUGGAUGUUUAAGUCAGUUGUGAAAGUUUGCGGCUCAACCGUAAAAUUGCAGUUGAUACUGGAUAUCUUGAGUGCAGUUGAGGCAGGCGGAAUUCGUGGUGUAGCGGUGAAAUGCUUAGAUAUCACGAAGAACUCCGAUUG